GUGGUUCUAUAAGAAAGCAGGCUGAG
rnacentral:piRNA from 1 species